ensembl:lncRNA
AUGCCAAUCACAUGUGCUCUGAGCCACUCUGUUCCUAGGAGUGCUGCUUGUGUCCUCCCACAGACGAGCUUCCGAGAGGAAACUGAGCUUCCGAGAAGAAACGUGGUACCUCAAGGAUGCCCCGACGAUAUUAGAACAAGGAAGGGUGGACCUUUUACUAGUCGGUCUGGUUUUCUAUCUCCUGCGGUGAAGCUCCUGGUCAUCACCUGUCCAUGGGGCAUGAGCAUGGGAAAACUGAUGGAACCAGCAAGAUACUGCCUCUUCAUAAACAUCCUAAUUUCUGGAGUUUCUGUCUCUUUGACUGGCUGCAGUGGUUUUGAGGUCUUCAUGUCCGAAUCACAGUACACGAGGCGCUUUUGUUUAAGACACUGGCUUGUAAUUGGACAUCCUCUGGUCGUUUAAGACUAUGUGUACUAGGACUUUCUGUGCUAAAGGGAAAAAAAUGGAUGAAAAAUCAGAAAUUAUCUGUGAAAGGCAAGAAUCAUCUUGCAGGUCCUUUGCUGUGUGAUCAUCAAAUGCAAGAAAUGAUGGAGCUGGCAGAAGACAAGGCUGGGAUUCAAUGAUGUGCAGACAAUGUUUUCUCACAAUGUAAAGGUGAAAAAACUGAGGCGCUAUUGAAAUUUUGAGGGGUCAGAGCAUGUGGUAUUACUACGAGGCCCACUUCCUGCAUCAUUCCCAGGAGGCAGGUCCAUGACAGCAGGUGCGAGUCGCCAGGAAGCACUUCCUUUGGGAUCAAGCCCUGUGAUCACCAUCAUGCAUUUACUGAUCCCACAUGCCAGGCCCAGGGCUGGGGGUAGGGGAGACACAUCCCCUGCCUCCAAAGGGGGACAAUCCAGGGAUCCAAAGUGUGUGAUCCUAACCAUCCAUGUAAAAAGUUCAAAGGGGAUACUCAAAACAGCACAGAGGAGACUCCAUCAGCUGGUUGCUUCUUGGGGAAGACUGCCUGGAAGAGGCUUCCUCUUUGGAAAUCUGUGCAUCCAAGAAAGAAAAUAAAAAUUCUGGGCAAUUGCCCA